rnacentral:piRNA from 1 species
UGAACUCUUCUUGUCUGUUUAUUUGCCUCGC